GAAAUGCGAUAAGUAGUGUGAAUUGCAGAAUUCAGUGAAUCAUCGAAUCUUUGAACGCACAUUGCGCCCCUUGGUAUUCCAUGGGUCAUGCCUGUUCGAGCGUCAUUUGUACCCUCAAGCUCUGCUUGGUGUUGGGUGUUUGUCCCCGUCUCCGCGCGUGGACUCGCCCCAAAGUGAUUGGCAGCCGGCGUACUGGUCCCGGAGCGCAGCACAUGUCGCGCAAACGAGUGCCUUGGUACGGCGGCGUCCAUAAGCCCCUCUCUCACGCUCUUGACCUCGGAUCAGGUAGGGAUACCCGCUGAACUUAAGC
rnacentral:misc_RNA from 1 species